UAAACGACUCUCGGCAACGGAUAUCUCGGCUCUCGCAUCGAUGAAGAACGUAGCGAAAUGCGAUACUUGGUGUGAAUUGCAGAAUCCCGUGAACCAUCGAGUCUUUGAACGCAAGUUGCGCCCGAAGCCAUUAGGUUGAGGGCACGUCUGCCUGGGCGUCUCA
rnacentral:rRNA from 9 species